CUCAAAGCUAACAAAAUCCUCUCCUUUCGUCCUUAAAAAGAAAAAAGAAAAAGAAAAAAAACCCUCUUCCUUCCUCUCGUUUUCGAAAUUCCAAUUUCCCGCCUUCUCUUCUCUCAGUCUCACACUCUCGCGCAGAGAGGUAGGAACCAACCAUUCAGUCUUCAUCAUUUUCCCUUAUAAUUUUCCUCUGCUCUUCGUUCUUCAUCAUCGUCAUCCUCCAUAAUUUAUUGCUAUUAGGGUUAGGGCUUUCACUUUUGAGAGGCCUCAGGAUUGCAAUCGCCGUUGACCCUUUUGCAAAUUACUAUGGAGGCUGCUCUGUACUCGAAACUCUACGAUACGUACAUGAAACUCAAGUCGAAGAAAUGGUCGGAGUUGGAUAAUGUUAAUAAAGAUCAAGAAGUAAAGUUCAUGGAUUAUAUCUCG